GACGAACGCUGGCGGCGUGCUUAACACAUGCAAGUCGAACGGAAAGGCCCUGCUUUUGUGGGGUGCUCGAGUGGCGAACGGGUGAGUAACACGUGAGUAACCUGCCCUUGACUUUGGGAUAACUUCAGGAAACUGGGGCUAAUACCGGAUAGGAGCUCCUGCUGCAUGGGGGGGGUUGGAAAGUUUCGGCGGUUGGGGCUGGACUCGCGGCUUAUGAGCUUGUUGGUGGGGUAGUGGCUUACCAAGGCUUUGACGGGUAGCCGGCCUGAGAGGGUGACCGGCCACAUUGGGACUGCGAUACGGCCCAGACUCCUACGGGAGGCAGCAGUGGGGAAUAUUGCACAAUGGGCGGAAGCCUGAUGCAGCAACGCCGCGUGCGUGAUGACGGCCUUCGGGUUGUAAACCGCUUUCGCCUGUGACGAAGCGUGAGUGACGGUAAUGGGUAAAGAAGCACCGGCUAACUACGUG
rnacentral:rRNA from 1 species